rnacentral:rRNA from 1 species
GACGAACGCUGGCGGCGUGCCUAAUACAUGCCAGUUGAGCGCUGAAGGUUGGUACUUGUACCGACUGGAUGAGCAGCGCACGGGUGUGUAACGCGUGGGGCAUCUGCCUUUGAGCGGGGGACAACCUUUGGAAACGAAUGCUAAUACCGCAUAAAAACUUUAAACACAAGUUUUAAGUUUGAAAUAUGCAAUUGCAUCACUCAAAGAUGAUCCCGCGUUGUAUUAGCUAGUUGGUGAGGUAAAGGCUCACCAAGGCGGUGAUACAUAGCCGACCUGAGAGGGUGAUCGGCCACAUUGAGACUGAGACACGGCACAAACGCAUACGGGAGGCAGCAGUAGGGAAUCUUCGGCAAGGGGCGAAAGUCUGACCGAGCAACGCCGAGUGAGGGAAGAAGGUUUUCGGAUCGUAAAACUCGGUUGGUAGAGAAGAAAGUUGGUGAGAGUGGAAAGCUCAUCAAGUGACGGUAACUAGUAAGAAAGGGACGGCUAACUACGUG